ACAACAUAUUUCCUGAUCUCACUAGGUAUUCAUGGUGUCACUCAGAUAUUCACAUUUUGUUAUGCUAAUUAUCUUUUUAAAAGAAUAUGACACGUGCAUUCAAGAUACCUUGGAGCUACAAUGGCAUUUAGAUUGUAAAAGGCAUCAGCGGCAACAGUUACAAAACCAAAUACUUCAGACAGAAACAGCCAACAGAGAGAUUCAGGAGGAUAUAGACUUCAUGAAGAAACACAGCCCUCUGCUGGAAGAAAAGCUGAUUCUAGAGGGUGAAGCUGUGAAAGAAGUGUUAAUGGCUUAUGAAAAGGCAUCAAAAAUGUACAGUGAUGUUUGUUGUGAACUCAUGGAAAUCGAAAAGACAAUGAAAAGAAUUGAUGAAGAAUCUGAAAAGAAGAUAAAAUCUAUGUAUGAGAAAAUUAAAUGUGCUGAGAUGCUACUGAGUAAAUGCAAGAAUGAGUUAAAGCAUUCUGAAUUUAUUUGGACCGAAUACUGUAUGAAGUUAAAAGAAACAGAGGAGAAGAUUAUAAAGGAUGAAAAACACCUUGAGGAGUUAGUGAAGCAAAAAGCAGAAAUCCAGGAAGAUGCAAAAUGUUGGAACAGCAAAAUAGAAGAUUUGAAUAAUAAAAUAGCUGCCCAAGGAGAUGAGAACGUAAAAAUAUCAGCUGCUUCUUCUGAAGUAUUUAAAGCUGUGGAAGAAUUAGUAAGUUUUUUGUUGUUUUUUUUUUUAAUAAAUGAAGUAAAAAUGCUUACAUACUUGCAUUUCUGUGUUGGCCUGAAAUAAUUUCAAAUCAUGCUAAAAGUGUUUUAAUGUUUUAAUGUUCACUAGAAAUCCACCAGGAAAAGUGAUCUACAAUAUAGAAAGCAAACAAUUCUUAAUAUUAAUGAAGCACUGGACAUUUUGAAAAGUGAAAAUGAAGAACUUGAGAGAGAAAAGGAAAAGAUUUUGCAAAAAAUUGGAAAUAGGUAAUGCAUGCAAUAUAAAUAUAAAGUAAAAAAUGUUAUUUUUUCACUGAAAGCAUUCCUAUAAAAUGAAUCUUGCCUUUAU
rnacentral:lncRNA from 1 species